rnacentral:rRNA from 1 species
GAUCAUGGCUCAGGAUGAACGCUAGCUACAGGCUUAACACGUGCAAGUCGAGGGGCAGCAUGGUCUUAGCUUGCUAAGGCCGAUGGCGACCGGCGCACGGGUGAGUAACACGUAUCCAACCUGCCGUCUACUCUUGGACAGCCUUCUGAAAGGAAGAUUAAUACAAGGUGGCAUCAUGAGUUCACAUGUUCACAUGAUUAAAGGUAUUCCGGUAGACGAUGGGGAUGCG